AGACAAUUCUCCCGACUCGCCUCCGACGGACGCCAGCCGCAACGCCGCGAACCCCAUCCUCGGGAGCCUCUCCUCCGACGGUCGAUGGCCCGGCUCCCUGACGCCAUCCUCGCAACGCCAACCCCAGCCUCGAGACCGUCAUCUCCGACGCCAUCCCCAAGUGCCUCCGCCGCUGCUCCACAUCCUCUUCCCCUCUACAAGGUGAUUCUGAUAUCAUCAAGACUACACCAGGUGAGCAGUAAAAGAGUGGUGGCAGUACAUCCUCUCUAGAGUUGUUACUCAGGUUUGUAUGUUGGCAGCAGUAUGCUCCUAGUUACCUUCUAAAGUUUCUCCUAAUUUCUCAAUGGGUUUGUGAUAACUUGCCUUUUGUUCUUAGUUUCAUGAGUCAUAUAUAUAUAUAUAUAUAAGAGCUAUCUCCAUGUUUUGCAUGCUUAAGUUCCUUAUAAGAGCUAUCUCCACUUCUCUAUAUAUGGGUUCUUGGGAGCAGCAAGUUAGACAAUUUUUGUUAGAUGAGGAAGAAGAUGAUGAUGAGUUGUUCUUUGCUAUUCUCCCUGCUAUAAUUCCAUAUCUCUCAGAAGAGAAAGAGCCCAUCCACACCUCCUCACUCACUGGUGCUAAAAAGGUUAGAGAAAUUCUUGAAGGACAUGAGAGUUGGUGCAAAUCUGAGUUUCAAAUGGAGCCAGCAAUAUUCGAAACCACAACAAAUUUUCUUAGAAGAGAGAAUUUACUACGAGACACACGAGGAGUUAUCGUUGAGAAGCAGCUUGGGAUGUUCAUGUACAUGAUCUCCAACAAUGCUAGUAACCAAAUGCUACAGAAGGCUUUUCAACAUAGUGGAGAGACUAUCCAUAGGAAAAUAUCUGAAGUAUUUGAUAUAGUUCCCACACUAACUCAAUGUUUUGUGAAGCUUCCUAGCUCUAUCCAAACUCACACCAAAAUUGCUACAGAUUCUAGGUUCAUGCCAUUUUUAGAACUGCAUUGGUGCAAUCGACGGCACACAUAUACCCACCACCAUAGCAGAACAUAGGGCCCCUCCAUAUAGAAACAUGAAAGGAACUCUUUCACACAAUGUUAUGGUAGCCUGCGACUUUGACCUCAAUUUCACAUUUGUUUCAUGUGGAUGGGAGGGGUCAGCCUCAGAUGCAGGGGUGCUUCGAUCUGCUAUUAGCAAAGGAUUUAGUGUGCCAGAAGGAAAGUUUUAUGUAGUAGAUGGUGGGUAUGCAAAUACAUCAUCCUUCAUUGCACCAUAUAGAGGGGUUCGAUACCAUCUCAAUGAGUUUAGGAGGCGUCGUUCAUCACAAAGUGGUUAUGCGAACUACAAAGAGCUGUUCAACCAUCGCCAUGCAAUUCUCUGUAACCAUAUAGAGAGGGCCAUCGAUGUUCUAAAGAAAAGGUUCCCGAUUCUAAAAGUAGGCACAUUUCGUCCCAUAGAGAACCAAAUCAAGAUCGCAACUGCAACUAUUGCAUUUCACAACAUAAUUAGAGGGCAAAAUGGAGACAAAAGAUGGCUUGACAACCAACCAGAUUACAUCUCUCCAAGUCAAUAUGUUGAUGUCCCAGAGGGAGAUACCAACUAUCUCAAUGACACAGAAUCAAGUGAUGGAAGCUCUCUAAGAGAUCAGAUCACACUUCAGAUGUGGGCUGCCUACAAUAGCUAGAUGGGUGCUUAUAAUGGCUUCUAGUUUGUCAUGUAGCUAGUUGCCUAGUUCGUCGGUUAUGUACUAUUAUUACUUAUGAAGUCUUUAUGGUUUGUAGUUUGUCAUGUAGCUAGUUGCUGAGUUCAUUUGUUAUGUACAAUUAUUACUUAUGAACUUAAAGUAGCCUAUUUAUGAACUUAAAAUUACCUAGUUAUGUACUAUUAUUUCCACAAUUUCAGUUUUGAAAAAAGGAUGAUUUGGAACAAUGUGUAUGAGAAAGGCUUAUUUGAUGUGAUGCAUGAUCACAAAGAUAAUCCAAAAUUCAAAGGUCAAAAUGGUUGGAAUCGUGAUGGAUGGAAUAGUAUCACUACGAAGUUCAAUGGAAAGUUCCCUCUAGCUCAUUUCUCUAAACAACAACCACAAGAGAAGGAGAGAGAGCUUAAAGGAUACUACAAGGCAAUAAGGGAUUCAAGAAAAAAAAAGCGGGGCUGGUUGGAAUGACACUCUAUGCAUGGUACUGGCCAAACCAGAAGUUUGGCCAUGGCUGAUUCGUGCUCACCCAAAAGUAUCAAAGUUUCGCAACAAGCCAUUCCCUCUUUUUUACAGUUUAGAAGGGCUAUAUGAAGGUAGUGUGGCUAUCGGAGAGUUAAAUUUCACAUCAACUGCUUUUGAUCUUCCUCCACCUUCAGCUCCAUCUAGGAGUGUGUCUGGACAAAGUCCAAAUCCCUUGAGUACUAAUUCACUUGAUUUGGAUGGACAAGAAACCACAAGUGUGUUCAAUCUGUCUACUAAUGCUCACUCUGUCCCAGUCAGUACUAAUGAACCCACCGAAGCUCAGUUUGUCCCAUCUAAUCAAGAAUCAAGCCAAAGAGAAGGUGCCAGUGGGAGAAAGCGUAAGCAAAGCCAUGUUGGAUUAGCCUUGAAAGUUAUGUGGAGUUUAAAAAGAUCAAUUUUCUAUUAGCAAGUGUCAGGCUGAAUUGAAAGAAAUGGAUGGAUUAACAGUCGUGGACAAAUCAUAUGCUUUGGAGCUUUUCGUAUCUACGACAAACAGAGAGAUUUUCUUAACAACAACAGAGCAUGAUGUUAGAGAAAUUUGGCUCAAGCACAAAAUUAGGUUGCUUCAUGGCAGUGAUGCAUGGCCUGGACAAUUGAUAUGAGGAAAUUUGAGUGCAAAGUGAAAGCAACUCAUGGAGCCGACAUGGAGAAGAAAAAUGCAACGACAGUCUACAUGAAGCUUGUGAAAAAAGAGUUAAAUCUCAAAGUUCAUAAUAAAGAGACUUGUAUUACAGUUUUAUGUUAUAUUGUUUAUCUUUUUGUGAUGGAUGGAUGUAUUACAGUUUUAGUUUGUUGUUGCUUCAGUUUGCUGCCCAUACUUCAGUUUGCUUGACAAACUAUUGUGAUGAUGGAU